rnacentral:rRNA from 1 species
UACGGAGGAUGCAAGCGUUAUCCGGAAUCAUUGGGCGUAAAGAGUCUGUAGGUGGCAUUUAAAGUCUGCUGUCAAAGACCGAAGCUCAACUUCGGGCAGGCGGUGGAAACUGAAAAGCUAGAGUAUAGUAGGGGUAGAGGGAAUUCCUAGUGUAGCGGUGAAAUGCGUAGAGAUUAGGAAGAACACCAGUGGCGAAGGCGCUCUACUGGGCAUAUACUGACACUGAGAGACGAAAGCUAGGGUAGCGAAAGGGAUUAGAUACCCCUGUAGUCCUAGCGGUAAACGAUGGAUACUAGGUGUAGUCUGUAUCGACCCAGACUGUGCCGAAGCAAACGCGUUAAGUAUCCCGCCUGGGGAGUACGCACGCAAGUGUGAA